rnacentral:rRNA from 1 species
AGCGUAGACGGACUGGCAAGUCUGAUGUGAAAGGCGGGGGCUCAACCCCUGGACUGCAUUGGAAACUGUUAGUCUUGAGUGCCGGAGAGGUAAGCGGAAUUCCUAGUGUAGCGGUGAAAUGCGUAGAUAUUAGGAGGAACACCAGUGGCGAAGGCGGCUUACUGGACGGUAACUGGCGUUGAGGCUCGAAAGCGUGGGGAGCAAACA